rnacentral:rRNA from 1 species
UGCCAGCCGCCGCGGUAAUACAUAGGGGUCAAGCGUUACCCGGAAUCACUGGGCGUAAAGGGUGCGUAGGCGGUCAUAUUAGUCGGGUGUUAAAUCCUGGGGCUCAACCUCAGACUCGCAUUCGAAACGGUAUGACUAGAAGAUGUGAGAGGUGAACGGAACUCAAGGUGUAGGGGUGAAAUCCGUUGAUAUCUUGGGGAACACCAAAUGCGAAGGCAGUUCACUGGCACAUUCUUGACGCUGAGGCACGAAAGCGUGGGUAGCGAACGGGAUUAGAUA